CAAUUUAAAGCUUAUUUAGUAAAGUUUUUCAUUUACAUUGAAAAGAUAUUUGUGCAAAUCAAAUUAAAUUGA
rnacentral:tRNA from 3 species